UACAGAGGUCCCAAGCGUUGUUCGGAUUCACUGGGCGUAAAGGGUGCGUAGGCGGUCGGGUAAGUCUGCUGUGAAAGCCCUGGGCUCAACCUGGGAACUGCAGUGGAUACUGGCGGACUAGAGUGUGAUAGAGGAUGGUGGAAUUCCCGGUGUAGCGGUGAAAUGCGUAGAGACGGUGGAGGAACACCAGUGGCGAAGGCGGCCAUCUGGAUCAACACUGACGCUGAGGCACGAAAGCGUGGGGAGCAAACAGG
rnacentral:rRNA from 1 species